CCUGCCGACCCGGGUCCGGGGGCCCAGUUGGCGCCCGGACCAGCUCUCCGGUCUGCGUCCUGUAGAUGGGAAAACUGAGGCCUGAGAGGGCGCGAGGGCGGGGACGAGGCCGAGGACUCGGGUUCGAAUCUCGAGGACGCCAGUAGCCCGCUCUGAGGCCGCGUGGGGCUGGUGGAGGAGCCACCGGUCGGGCCCCCAAGACCGGCUGACGUGGGCCUCGCCUCGGGCGACUCCCGCCGGGCUAGUGGCUGGCCGUGUGGUGACCUUGGGCGAGUUACUUCGCACAGCCACCCAGGGGCCUCUUCUCCAACACGAUAGCACUGCACCCGGAGGGCCUUCAGACCUGAGCUGAAAUCUACACCACCGGCUCUCUGACUAUCAGGCUUUGGACUAUACUUUGGGCUUUCCUGGGUCUCUUACCUGGCAGACAGCAGAUUUUGGAACUUUUCAGCCUCCAUAAUCAUGUUCUACUGGAACUUCUAGCAGGCAAACUCACCUAGUGCUCUCUGGAAGGUGAUGUGGGUGGAACUCUGUCUGAUUCCAAUGUCUAGAUGCCAAUGAGCUCUCCACCAUCACCCCAGAGACAGGGGAAAGAAGAUAUAAGUAGACCUGGGCCUGUCUUCAUUCACUCUCAGUGAGCACACGGCAGGCAUUCAAGAAAUAUAGAGGCUGAAUUACAUUUUUUUUGAGGGUCUAAACUUUGCCCUCUGUGACUAGGUGUCAUUUGAUAUGGCAAUGAGAAUACAGAGCAGAGAUACUCAAACUCAGGAACCAAAAGAAUCAUCUGAAGAUAACUGUUAAAAUGCAGAUUCUAGGGUCCUCCCUCCAGAACUCUGUGAGGGAUUGUUAUCUCCAUUUUAUGGAUGAGGAAGCUGACUCUGAGAGAUGACUUUCCAAAUUCAUCCAACUGGAAGAAAAAGGAAGUCUCUGGGGACUUGAAUCCAGAACUGUCCAGCUCCAAGUCCAGGGCUCACUCUAUUAAGCCACUCCAUGAGGAAUGAGUCCCUAAGGAGGCCACAGAAGGCCCUAAGCCCUCUUUUGUUCUCUGGAAGAGAGUGCCAUUUCUUGGCCCUUCCCAAGGCCUUGACAACUGAAGGUCCCAGAAGAACCACAAAGCAUAAAUUUCCCCAAAAGGGGAAUUUUGUUGAUGGCUUUAGUCUAUUCCCUCCUAAAAGACCAGCUACAACCAAAUGAAGUGAACAUAACCUCAAGGGUGUAUUGUCUUCAUAAUAAAAGAUGAAGCUUAGAACUGGAUCAUGGAAUUCAAAUCGCGGAGUGACAGGCUGUGUGUGGGGCUGAUUGUCUGGGUCAGAGACAUCACAACUGGCUGGUGAGGAGAGCUUUCUGACAACAGGAGCUGUCCAACAAGGAGUGGGCUGCUGUCACCGAGGAGCUGAAGCGGCCGACGGCUGACCUUCCACUGGGCACUAGGCAGGGCCUGGAUGGAGGGAGUCUUAAAGUAGGAGGGAGAAGCCAAGGAAAUAGCUCUCUAGAAGCAUUUUGUACACUGAAAAGUGUCAUUGAAACGCUGUAAAGAACCACUGAGGAUAUGAGUUAUUCUUCCUACAGUUGUACAGCUUGUGAACAGUAGAGCUGGGGUCCGAGCCAGGUCUCUGACUCUGCAGCCUACCCUUGUCCUGCUUGAACACACUGAGGAAGACAGGAAUAACAGGACAUGGGUCAGAAGGCUUGGCUUCUGCUCCAGCUUUGAAGUUGAAGGAUUAGGUGACAGCUAACACUUGAUAGUAUUUUAUGGUUUCAAAGUGAUAACCAUGUAAUAUUUUAAUUGAUUCUCAGCCCAUUUUGUAGAUGAGGAAACUGAGGCUCACAGAUCUGAUGACUUCCUAAUUGUGGCAAACUACCAGCUACACAGUAGCUGGGCUGGCUUCGAACCAGGUCUUUUGACCCCAGAGUCUGUGCAGCUCACAAAUAAAGCUGAUUCUUUGACAAGUUAAGCCUCUUCUCUUGGAUUCAUUUUUCCAGUCUGUGAAAAUGAGGGAUUGGAUUAGAUUAGUAGGCAAUCACUAGUUCCCAGGCCCUUUUAUUUAAAGAAAAAAAGGAGAACCCAUAGAGUCUGGCAACUUAAACUUUUGCUAAGUAUGAACACUCUUCCACCACGUGAUGACACAAGAAGGUCCUUGUACGAUGUCAGGAAUUUGGACAGACCACAGUGGAGAUGGCUAAUCUAUGCCCCACGGUGUCUGGGGCCUCAGCCGGGGUGACUCAAAGGUGUCUGUGAUAUGUAACAAUUGGAGGCUGAGUAGGCAUCUUUCUCUCCUCUCCAGGUGGCCUCUCGGUGAGCUUAGGUU
rnacentral:lncRNA from 1 species